rnacentral:pre_miRNA from 1 species
UACACAGGACUUGAUCCAAAGCUCAUUGAAGUCAUUGACAAUCUUUCCAUUGGCUUAAAUGGGCUUUGGAUCAGGGCCAUAGCUA